AGUGCAUCCCGCCCUAAGCCAGCGGGGCGACCUCACCUUCAGAGACCUCAUCUGCGGGGCUCCCACCUGGCUGGAUCCCGCGCCCGGGGGUCCGGGCGCCGUCUGGAGCUGAGCAGGCAGAUAGACAGGGACCUCGACGCAUCCUCCAUACCCGCUGCGGGGAAAUGGACCCCACCAGCCAGCACGGGGAGGAAACUGAGGCCUGGCGAAAGAAAGAUGCGGCCUGAGGUGGGACGUGAACCCGCGGCCCUGCAGCCCAGACAGCGGCCCCGGAGUGAC
rnacentral:lncRNA from 10 species